UAGAAAAUAGAUGUCCUCUGGUUGGUCCU
rnacentral:piRNA from 1 species